CUAGCAACUGCAAAGUCAACAGAAAAUAGAGGAGGACACAACACUGUAUUUAUGUAAUCACCAAGAUGAAGCACAUGGAUCUGUUUAUGCACAGUGGAUAUAAGUGCAGGAAGAAAGGAAGAGGAGUGCCAUGAACCCUGACCCCGUAAUACCUGGAUCUGACACCAAAGUCUUGCAAGUCGAACCAGAUUUCAAAGGGCCUCUGACACCAGGUUUCCUGUACUUGGUGAUCCCCUUGACACUCCAUUACUCUUUCCUGACUUGGAAUAUGAAGCAGAGGCACUAUCAAUGCCACCAGUAGUGACACAGUUCCAUUAAAGCCAGUGCCUGGAAAACAGGGCACAAACCCUUUAAGGCCUGGUGUAACACAUAUAUAGAAGUUGCAUUGCAUUAUCUCAGGCUGCCACAGGGGGCAGCAGAGUGCACUCUACAUUCUCUUUCACUUUUACCAAAUCCAUAAUGGGGGACUAAAUAAAGUUGUUGCAUUUGUUACUCAA